AGUGAACGCUGGCGGUAGGCCUAACACAUGCAAGUCGAACGGCAGCACAGUAAGAGCUUGCUCUUACGGGUGGCGAGUGGCGGACGGGUGAGGAAUACAUCGGAAUCUACUUUUUCGGGGGGGAUAACGUAGGGAAACUUACGCUAAUACCGCAUACGACCUACGGGUGAAAGCAGGGGAUCUUCGGACCUUGCGCGAUUGUAUGAGCCGAUGUCGGAUUAGCUAGUUGGCGAGGUAAAGGCCCACCAAGGCGACGAUGCGUAGCUGGUCUGAGAGGGUGAUCAGCCACACUGGAACUGAGACACGGUCCAGACUCCUACGGGAGGCAGCAGUGGGGAAUAUUGGACAAUGGGCGCAAGCCUGAUCCAGCCAUACUGCGUGGGUGAAGAAGGCCUUCGGGUUGUAAAGCCCUUUUGUUGGGAAAGAAAAGCAGCAGGUUAAUACCCCGCUGUUCUGACGGUACCCAAAGAAUAAGCACCGGCUAACUUCGUG
rnacentral:rRNA from 1 species